AAAUGAAGAUUGUGUUUGUAUCAUUCUUCAGUUACUAGUUGUGUUAGUUUUCACACUUGCUGCCAUCCAAAGGCUUAAUCUGUGAGCAAGAAAAAUCCUUAAUGGCAUCAUGCUUAUGGUUUUUUUUCCAGAAAACUGAUGCCCCUCCUAUUUCUUGCUGCCAAGAGUUGAACCAAAUCAUAUCUUAUAAAGGAAGGAAAACUUAUGCAUGUAAGUGUCUUUAAGAAGCAGCCUCUCAAGUUAAUGUGGAUUAUCCCUUCUCCAAGGACUAGGAUUGCAAAAAAAUUGGAGACCGUUAGGGUGAUCUUUGAGGAGAGCUCUUCACUUCCAUCCAAUUAGUUUCUCCAUUAGAGGUUGGAAUGACACAAAUUUGCAUAAUUAGGUUCUGUAGAAUUAUGUAAACUCACUAGACGAAAAUAUAUUAAGCGAAGUCAAAUUCAAAGAGUUACUAAUUGGUAGUCGUUGGGCAAGAUUAUACGCUGGGCGAGACCAAAGUUAGAGAAGUAAUUGACUUGACAAUCGUUAGGCGAUAAUACACUUGUUGGACGAGACCAAAGUCAGAGAACUCACUAAUUAACUUGAAAGUAGUUGGGUGAGGCAAGUUUGUGGUAGUCUUCAUAGACAACAUACUUAUAUACACCAAAAAUCAUGAGGAUCAUGUUGAACACUUAAAGACAAUAUUUGAGAUCUUAAGAGAGAAGAAGUUUUACCCCAAGUUGUCAAAGUGUGAGUUUUGGAUACAAAAGGUUUGGUUUUUGGGGUAUUUAAUAUUAACUUAAGAGAUAUGUGUGGAUUCGGUCAAAGUUGAAGUAUUGUUGCAAUGGGAGUGACCUAAGUCAGUUUCGAAGAUAAAAAGUUUUGUGGGUCUAGCUAGCUACUAUAAGAGAUUCAUAGAAGAAUUUUCUAAAAUAGUGGCGCCUUUAAGAUAGCUAACUCACAAAGAUCAAUUGUUUGCUUAGACAGACAAGUGUGAGGAAAACUUUCAAGAGUUGAAGCGAAGGUCGACGAUUGCUUACCCUUACAUGUUAUUGUUUAUUUGUGCUUGUUGUAUGAUUUGAAAUUAUCACUUGAUAGAUGUCAACAAAGAGAGAUGAGAUUUCUGUGGAACAGACCCUAGAAGAUGGUGGUGCAAGU